GGAGGCUCAGUGGUAGAGUGCUUGCCUCAUAUGCAUGAGGCCCUGGGUUCGAUUCCUCAGCACCA
rnacentral:tRNA from 1 species